AUUGAUAAGCGCUGAAAGCAUCUAAGCGCGAAGCGAGCCCUGAGAUGAGUCUUCCCUGACAGUUUAACUGUCCUAAAGGGUUGUUCGAGACUAGAACGUUGAUAGGCAGGGUGUGUAAGCGUUGUGAGGCGUUGAGCUAACCUGUACUAAUUGCCCGUGAGGCUUAACCAUACAACACCCAAGGGGUUUUGUA
rnacentral:rRNA from 1 species